AUUGAACGCUGGCGGCAGGCCUAACACAUGCAAGUCGAGCGGAUGAAGGGAGCUUGCUCCUGGAUUCAGCGGCGGACGGGUGAGUAAUGCCUAGGAAUCUGCCUGGUAGUGGGGGAUAACGUCCGGAAACGGGCGCUAAUACCGCAUACGUCCUGAGGGAGAAAGUGGGGGAUCUUCGGACCUCACGCUACUAGAUGAGCCUAGGUCGGAUUAGCUAGUUGGUGGGGUAAAGGCCUACCAAGGCGACGAUCCGUAACUGGUCUGAGAGGAUGAUCAGUCACACUGGAACUGAGACACGGUCCAGACUCCUACGGGAGGCAGCAGUGGGGAAUAUUGGACAAUGGGCGAAAGCCUGAUCCAGCCAUGCCGCGUGUGUGAAGAAGGUCUUCGGAUUGUAAAGCACUUUAAGUUGGGAGGAAGGGCAGUAAGUUAAUACCUUGCUGUUUUGACGUUACCAACAGAAUAAGCACCGGCUAACUUCGUG
rnacentral:rRNA from 1 species